UAAGAAAAAUACCUACCCAGAGGAACUAAGUUCAAAUGGUCAAGAUUCAGUUGUUUUAUCAAAUGCACCAGUGCUGAGAUUUGCCAGCUAUCUAAUGCCAAAAA